rnacentral:tRNA from 1 species
AGAAGUGUGGCUUAGUGGAAAGAGCACAGGGUUGGAAGUUAGAGGUUGUGGGUUCUAAUCCCACCUCUGCCA